rnacentral:rRNA from 1 species
GCCUGUUUAUCAAAAACAUGGUUUUUUGGGAUAAUUUAAGAUCUGACCUGCCCAAUGAUUAAUUUAAUGGCCGCGGUAUAUUGACCGUGCAAAGGUAGCAUAAUCAUUAGUUUUUUAAUUGAAAGCUGGAAUGAAUGGUUUGACAAGAAAGUAGCUGUCUCUAUUUUAUUUUUUAUUAGAAUUUUAUAUUUAAGUGAGAAAGCUUAAAUUUAGUUGAGGGACGAGAAGACCCUUUAGAAUUUUAUAUUACUUUUGGUUAAAAUUUAUAGAAUAUUUAAUUUUAAUUGGAAUGGAAUAUUUUGUUGGGGUGAUGGGAAAAUUUAAUUAACUUUUCUUUUAUUUAAAUUCAUUAAUUUAUGAAUAUAUGAUCCAUAUAUUAUGAUUGUAAGAUUAAAUUACCUAAGGGAUAACAGCGUUAUUAAUUUGGAGAGUUCAAAUCGAUGAAUUAGUUUGCGACCUCGAUGUUGGAUUAAAAUUUAUUAUUGGUGUAGGAGCUAAUAUAUUAAGUCUGUUCGACUUUUAAAAUUUUACAUGAUCUGAGUUCAGACCGG